UUUAAAUACAUCAUAUGUAUUAUCAUACCAAGGUUAAGAUGUUUCCCUUCCUUUUUUGAAAAAAACUCACAAUUACUCCACAUAAAUUUUAUAUAAUUUUAU